rnacentral:pre_miRNA from 2 species
CAUGAGAUCACCUUGGGAUCUUAUUAAAAUGCAGAUUCUGAUUCAGUGGGUCUGGGUAGGGCCUGAGAUUCUGCAUUUCUAACGAGCUUCCAGAUGACCCUGAU